rnacentral:rRNA from 1 species
UUGUCCUACGGGGGGCAGCAGUAGGGAAUCUUCGGCAAUGGGCGAAAGCCUGAACCAGCCAAGUCGCGUGAGGGAAUAAGGCCCUACGGGUCGUAAACCUCUUUUGCCGGGGAGCAAGGGCCGGGACGCGUCCCGGCCCGGAGAGUACCCGGAGAAAAAGCAUCGGCUAACUCCGUGCCAGCAGCCGCGGUAAUACGGAGGAUGCGAGCGUUAUCCGGAUUUAUUGGGUUUAAAGGGUGCGUAGGCGGGCUUUUAAGU